rnacentral:rRNA from 1 species
GACAGAGGGGGCAAGCGUUGCUCGGAAUUAUUGGGCGUAAAGGGCUCGUAGGCGGUCUGUUGCGUCGGGAGUGAAAACUCAGGGCUUAACCCUGAGCCUGCUUCCGAUACGGGCAGACUAGAGGUAUGCAGGGGAGAACGGAAUUCCUGGUGUAGCGGUGAAAUGCGCAGAUAUCAGGAGGAACACCGGUGGCGAAGGCGGUUCUCUGGGCAUUACCUGACGCUGAGGAGCGAAAGUGUGGGGAGCAAAC